rnacentral:rRNA from 1 species
UGAAUGGCUUGACGAGAAAUCAACUGUCUCUUAAUAAUUUUUAAAAUUUAACUUUUGAGUCAAAAGGCUUAAAUUUUUCUUUAGGACGAGAAGACCCUAUAGAGCUUAACAUUUUAUUUUUAUAUAGUUUUUAGUUGAUCUUUCUAUAUUUAAUGAUAAUGUUUUGUUGGGGUGACAUGAAGAAUAAUUAAACUCUUCAUUAUAAAAUCAUUGAUUUAUGUUUAUCAUGAUCCAUAAUUUAUGAUCAUAAGAUUAAGUUACCUUAGGGAUAACAGCGUAAUUGUUUUCGAGAGCUCAUAUCGACAAAGUAGAUUGCGACCUC